rnacentral:rRNA from 1 species
GAUGAACGCUGGCGGCGUGCCUAAUACAUGCAAGUCGAGCGAACGGACGAGAAGGUUGCUUCUCUGAUGUUAGCGGCGGACGGGUGAGUAAGACGUGGAUAACCUACCUAUAAGACUGGGAUAACUUCGGGAAACCGGAGCUAAUACCGGAUAAUAUUUCGAACCGCAUGGUGCAAAAGUGAAUGACGGUCUUGCUGUCACUUAUAGAUGGAUCCGCGCUGCAUUAGCUAGUUGGUAAGGUAACGGCUUACCAAGGCAACGAUGCAUAGCCGACCUGAGAGGGUGAUCGGCCACACUGGAACUGAGACACGGUCCAGACUCCUACGGGAGGCAGCAGUAGGGAAUCUUCCGCAAUGGGCGAAAGCCUGACGGAGCAACGCCGCGUGAGUGAUGAAGGUCUUCGGAUCGUAAAACUCUGUUAUUAGGGAAGAACAUAUGUGUAAGUAACUGUGCACAUCUUGACGGUACCUAAUCAGAAAGCCACGGCUAACUACGUG